AAACAAUUCACCUAUUUUCAUUUCCCCCCAAAUCUGUAACGCAAGAGAAAGACCCGCCGAUCUUCAUUUCCCCCAACAUUGCAAGCAAGAGGAAACCACCCCUUUCUUCAUCGCCGACAUCUAGACCACUGCCCGGUGCGCACCAUUGGACGUAGCCCAUCGAAACCGAUUAUGGAAAUAGUUUUUGAAGACGGCAGUGCAAUCGUACAUGAUGGACAAAGGUGUUUUCAUUUUUUCCUCAUUUCAUUUCAGCAAUUUAUUGUGGAAAGCUUGCCUCUGUGCCCUUUUCUUAAUAUGCAAAGCUUGCUGCUGCAUCUUUGUUGGGCUAUACCAUUGUAAUAGAUCUUUUUUGUUGAAUAUUAAAGGAUUAUAUGAUGUGCAAGGGUAGUCAAAAGUGUAUAUUAGAUUUAGUUAGGUAUUAUCUAACAUUUGGACACCAGAACAUUUGAUUAGUUAUGGACUCGAGGGGAUUCUCACGAGUGUUAAUUGAACAUCUUAUUUUUAGCAAUUCGGUUUAGGAGUUUCUCAAGUUUAGUUGAAUUUAAAAAUUUGUUUAAAAAAAAUUGUAUGCCUCUUCUUACUAUUAUGAGGAAAAAAAAUAAAGGUAGUAAUAAAAGAUAACAUUGAUUCGAGAAGCUAUUUUACAAAUUACUCUUUUUUUGGGGGAGAGGGGGUGUUCGAUACGUUACGUACCUUAAUUGACAGAAAAUUGGCUAUGUCAUAUUACUAAUUUAACGACCUCAUGUGCCACUAUUUAUUUUUUAUCAUACGCAUGUUAAUUACUGUUAGCAGCAGAGUUGUGUUUUUAAUUACAUGUAAUUUACAAAUUCUAACAAAAUCACAGCAUUUGUUGUAGAAAAAGAGAUUAUAGAAGAUGAGAAUCGUGGUUUCUUGGUAGAUUGUGAUAACGAGGAAAUUGCGGAAAAUUCAAACACAUUGGACAACGAAAAAUUAGGAGAUGUUGUGACGAAGCUUGAGGUGAGUAUGAUGUUUAAUAGUGAAGAAGAAAUGGUAAAGAUUUUUACUCGUGCCUGCAGAUGACUAUGCAUUGAUUGAGAUAUACAAGUUUUCACACGGCGACGUGGUGGUUUUUCGGUAAUUAAAUCUCUUGCUUGGCAUUAAUAUUGUUGGUUCCUUUUUUUAAUCCGGAUUAUUUGGAUUUUGUGCUUUCUUCAGUUUUAAGACAAGCCCAUAUUUACUGGUUUUUGAUCAGAAUUAUGAGACAUGAAUGUUCUUCUUUAUGAUUUGCUGAUUGAAUUUAACUAUGGAAAAUUGUUUUAAGCCCAUCUAGACCUUUAAACUCAAGCAAUCUCCACACUUAACUGGUUUGUCACCGAUAAGCAGGAAUGCAAUCUCAACUAUUUGCAGACAUUGAGUAAAAGGUAGGAUUGAAGUCGUGAAAUAAUUGGUACGUGCAAAACCUAAUGCAGCUCGAGUGAUCGUGGGUCAAGGGUAGACCAUUGAACUUUUGUGAGUGAAGUGCUAUCAAAUUCAGGCCUUCAAGAUCUUAGUGCACAAACUCCUAAAACUGUUGUUACAGGCUAAUUGAUUCAAACACUUUCGUGGUCGAAAUUUGUCUUGUUGGAACUAAAAUCGAGUUUUGUUCACGUGACUUGGCCCUGGGAAAUGUUUAAGAUAUAAAUUUUGAUUUUGACUUCUAAUUUUAAUGCAAAAUAGGCACC
rnacentral:lncRNA from 1 species